rnacentral:rRNA from 1 species
GUCUAUGGCCGUGCCACCCUGAACGUGCCCAAUCCCGUCUGAUCUGGAAGCUAACCAGGGGCGGGCCUGGUUAGUACUUGGAUGGGAGACCACCUAGGAAGACCAGGAGCUGUAG